UCUUUCUCCAUUUUUUCACGCUAAACUCUUGCUCCUUUCAUUCAUUAUCCACACGUCCGUUUCUCCUAUCUUCUCUUCGUUUCUUUCUCUUGACAUUUCUCUCUCCAGCCUUUCCCUUUUCAUUUUCUCUCUUUGCAGUCGACCAAAUCCCUUGGUGAAGAUUCAUAUGAAGCUGCCUUUUUUGCCUCUAUUUUUUUUCCUUCAGAAAAUCGAACUACAAUUUCAUUUUUUGCUUCUCUAAUCUGGAUUUUUUUUGUUUGGUUGUUGUUGUUGUUGUUGUUGUAUGAAUGAGUAAUUUCACUUCCAUUAUAACAGAAGGUAUGUACUCCAUCUAUUUAUCGGCAUUAAAGUCGCAUCGCGAUGAUAUUGCAGUUCCUCGAUUCUUUAAAUAUGGUUCGAGUGUUUGGCCGUGAAAGCUUCUGCCUCACGAUGGUUGUGACAACGAAUUUCUUCUUUGGUUUUGUAGUAUACAUUCUUGUGAUUUUGGAUUUUUAUAAAUAUAUUUUUUUCAUUCCUUCUCGAUAGUGUGAUAAUUGAGUGAUUCAAACUUUUUCUCUAGAUAAUUUUACGUUGCAUGGUUUUUAUUGAUUUGAAAUGGAGAUGGAACAUGUGACGAAGUUGACAAUGGAUCAAAGACCGAUGAAGGGGCCGGGAUUGAGUUGGGAUGUUUUACCUCUGGAACCUGAUCUGUUUAAAAAAAAAAAAAAAAAAAAAAAAAAAUAAUUGUUUUUGGACUUUUGUUGAUUUGGUGAAAAAAAUUAAACUUUUUUGGACCAGCUACGAAAUAGGUUCUUAUUCUUGUGUGUUUAAUUGCGUAUUUUGGAGGGUUUAAAAGAAUUUUUGAAUCUGGCGAACUUUCUUAUGAUUCUGAAUUGAUCUGAUUGUCAAUAUAUGAUCAAUAUAUUUAGCUUUAGUAGAAAAUAAUCAGUUUGAGAAAUUCUUUGAUAAAUAAAUCAUUUAUAAAUUUGUCAAAUUCAAGCUAAACAUAUAUUUUAAUACUUCUUUAUGUUAUUACAAAUUAGAAAUUUUCGAAAGAAAACAUUAUUUUCUUGGUAAAGAAAUUUUCAUUAGAAAUAAUAUUUUGCUUAUUGAUGUUUGAAUUCAUGUAUUAGUAUCAUUUUGAUGAUGUCAAGAUUAACGUUCACAAUAUUAAACAUUGUUAUAUUAUAGAGAUACUUCUCAUCCCAUGAUUUUUGUUCUGCGAUGAUGAUGAACACUUCCCCACAAGAUCGGAAUUUGGUAUUCGAUUACUUUGCUCUUUCUCCAUUCUACGACUAUUCCGUUCCAUCCACCCCUUGACUAAUCUCAACUCUUGUAAGUAGAUAAUGUAUACAUAUAAAUCCAUGCUUACAUAGCCAAAUGGCAUGUGUAUUUAUAUAUAUUGCCUUUCUCCUAAUUCAGAUGCCAUAAUUUGCCCUUUUCUGCUUAAGUAAUUGUCUUCCAUUGCUAAAUUAUAGUUUUAGUUAAUUGGUAGAUUUGAAUCGUACUAUAUUGUUCAAUUCGAAGCUAAAAUGGUUUGGGGGGGGGGGGGGGGGGGAAUUAGGAAUUUUGAAGUGGAGGAAUUGAUUUUUAUGAUAUAUUUCAAUUGUUUUAAUCUAUUAAUUAUAGAAUUUUUACUUUUUGAAAUUUACACUGCCAAAAAACAUUAACCCAAUGACAAAGCUCCACUAUUUGUAUGUUAUUGUUAGUAUUCUUUCAUUCCUGCAUAAACCUUCAUAGUUGUGUGUUGAGUGGACAUUGAUGUAAGACAUCUGUAGGAUGAUAACAAACACUUUGCUUCUACUUCCAAAGCUUUGUAUGGGCUUUCUGUUUUUACGGAUCACGAAUUAUUACAUAUCAUCGUACUAAAGUUUUUUUGUUUUUUUUUGUUUUUGUGUGGCUUAAUUGGUAAUUGAAUGAUAAACUGCUUGUUGGGAAUAUUCCACCAAGCGCACAGAUUUAUUUGACUUGUAUGUCAUGUACUGUUUUCAUUAAUAUUAUAUCAACCUUUAUAGAUUACAAAAUUUGAGUUGAUCCCAUUGUUUAGUCACAGAAAUGUUGCCUACCACUAAUUAGAUGGGCCUAUACCAGAUAAUCUUAUUUCUUGAACAAAUUUGAAUAGCAUGUAAACAUCUAAUGUAGUCUUGUAUUCCUUUUAUUUCUUAAAUUUUUCAUCUUUCUAGAUUGUCACAAAUUGAAUGGAACUAUUCCCAUGGCAUUUCAAAAGCUAGAAAGCAUGACGUAUCCGUGAGUUCCUCACUAAUGUCUUGCGUUUUAAAAAAUUUCGUUUGCUAGUAUUCUUCAGUGUGUAUUUGGAGAGAGAUGUGCUCAGAGUAUGAGUAUUCUAUUAUUAUUAUUAUUAUUGGAGUGCAAUUGAAAUGUUGGAAGCUUAAGUAAGAUAGACUAUAAGCAAGCUCAGUUUGCCAUCAUUAGAGAGUGAUUGUUACUAGAGAUGUGUUGCUUGCGAUAUAUUUCCAAAACUAGUCAAUACUAUUGUAAGCCUCACAUUAUAACUAUCUAUUAGAAGCUGAAUUUCAUUUAGCUGUUUGUGGAGACAGAACACAAUCCCCAUUAACCAUUAUCCUUGGAAUCAAAUUUUCAUAUCCCAAUUUCUUCCACUGUCCUCUACAAGCUAACAUAUCCUUAGAUCAAGGUUGAAGUACUAUAAAGCGGAUUCACGAUUAAUUGAGAUCGAUAAGGGUCAAGGUAGUAAGAUUGUUCUACUUGGUGGGACUUCUAUGCCAAAUAUUUCAAAAUCGAUCAAGUGUGAUAAAGGAGAGAGGACACUAUUUUGCUUAGAUGUUCUGUCCUUUCAGCAGGUUUCAUUUCCUUUACUUUCACUACUUAUUCAUUCAUUUCUUUUUCUGUUUAUGGAAGUAUCUCAAACUGAUUGUUAUUUAGUGUGCACCCACUUUUACUAAGAAUUUAUGUGUUUUUCAUUUUUUUAUCAAGUACAUUCGUGAUUGUUGAUUGUCAAGGAGUCUUAUUUUACAUGGUUGCAACUAUUUAUUUGUCAUUGCAUCAAUGUGGUUUUGAUUGAUUCAUAAAAGAUUCUUACGAAUAGAAAAGUGUACAGUGCAUAUAAAGUAAAACACUUUGUCACAUGUCAAGCAACAAUCUUGCUUAAAAAUAUAGUUGUAUCUCUCUCCCUCUAUCCCGUUCAAUGGUGGAAACUCGAUACUAGCUUGAUGAUGUUACCAUACUUCAAUUACCUAUUAAUAUUAUUGUAUACUCCUAUAAUCUGGAGUAUGAGUUUUGUGAAAUAGUUAUGUAUUAAAGUUGGUUUCAUGUAAUGCUUUGACAACUUCUGAAAUGAUUUUUUUUCUCCUUUCUAUUCACCAAUCAUAAGCCUAAAAUAACAAUCAAAUACGAGAAAAAACUGAAGAUGAUUGGAAGAAUAAAUAAAUGCAUACAUAUUCUAUACCUACUUAUAAAUGUUACUACUACUCCUUGCUUCAUGUUUUAAAUUGUACUACAUUUUUAUCUCGAAUUUCAUGAUUUUUUUUUUUUUUUUUUUUGGCAAAUUACCCUUUGGAUGUCCAAGUAAUGUAACCAAGAGCUGUCGUUGACCAAAGAAAUUCCAUUUGGGCUCUUCAAUGCUAUGUUUGAGUUUUUCUGGUAGUUGGUAGAAAGAUGCAGCACAAAAACCCUUGCUUUUGAUGGAAUGUUCAUAACACUCUACACAUUUGUACUUGAAAAAUCUCAAAUGAUAUUGUAUUAUCACGCAAAAAAGAACUCCUAUCAUCAUGGGAGCCUGUUGCAUUAGCAAGGUAUAAGUGUAAUGGAGACACUACUAUUAUUGUGAUUGCAAGCUAUUUUUAAGCCUUCUAUUCUAUUGGUGUUUUGAAAAACUGAAUCCCAUUUUACGUUUUAUUCCUUGUUCAUGAAGGUGGUUGAAAGUACUUCGUGCACCCUCAUAUCUAAAGCUCCUGCUAAUUGUUAGUGGCAGUGGGUUGUUUCUGCUAAUCUUGCUUUUUCAAUUUAAAGGAAGGUGAUAGAAUACUAAGAAGCUUGAACACCUUUGUAAUGGUUUGCCCAAUCUGUAUACCUUUCUUUGAAAGUACAUCUUCUGAGCUAAGGAAUACGAGGUCCAAUAACUAAAUUUAAGCCUGAUGCUGCUGUCAUACAUCCUUCAAAUAUGCUACAUAUAAUUCUGAUUGUUAUUGCAUUUUCAUUAUUUAUGUAGACGUGGAAAAUUGUUUCCUUCUGCUCUUUAUGUUGUUAAUCAUCUAAAAUUCUAUAUAAGAAUAUAUUAUAUACAAAGGAAGUCUUAUAAAUUUUGGAGCUAAAGGUGGUUGAGUUCUGCUAUUAAAUAUAAUUGGACGCAUCCAUGAUACUAUUUGCUACCUUUGUGUUAUAUUUUAAAAUGUAUUGUUUUUCCAAGAUUCCUCCUUUUGUUAUAAGUUCAUGUUUUACUUUCAGGUUCAUUGAAAAGUUUGGCACGCAUAUUAUUGUUGGUAUAAAGAUAGGUGGGAAGGAUGUAAUAUUUAGGAAACAACAUCACUCUUCUUCACUUCGACCAGCUGAUGUGCGGAAAAAAUUGAAAAUGAUGGCUGAUAAAAUGUUUCCAUAUGCAAGUGAACAAUAUGGAAUGGAUACGGAACAAGUAUAAUAGACUAAGAAGGUUUGAAAUUAUUUUAUAUUUAUUCAAUUUUCACCAAGGUGCAACUUUGAAAACUUAGAAGCUGGUUUAAUGUUUUCUCAUAUGAACGUCUGUUAGUACUCAAAAUAUUCUUUAGAUAGUGGUUGAUCCAAAGAACGCAAAUUAUGUAUCUUAUCUCGAAAAAAGUCGAUAUCAGUAAGAAUCAAAUUUCUUGAUAGGAUUUAGUGCAACAAUUGAAGUUUGUCACCUUUUUCUCCCCUUCCAAUGCUUUGCCGACUUGGAAGUUAAAAUUUGUAUGAUCUCAAUGGGUCGUUAGGUCAAAAUUUACCCUCUAGGCAACUAUUUGACUGUCAUAUGUUGCAUUUUCUGGCUGAUAUUUUAGAGCUUAAAUGCUCUGUUGAGUGUUUUGCAUUAUUUUACAAAUUACCACUAUGUAAACUGUAGAUUUGUUCCCUUGAUGCAACAAAAACCAACUUUCUUUACAAUUUUGUGGUCG
rnacentral:lncRNA from 1 species